CACCAAUCGAGCCUGGCUCGGUAUUGGGCGUCGCGGGUCUCGACCCGCGCGCCUUAAAGUCUCACCGGCUGAGCGACCCGUCUCCAAGCGUUGUGGCAACUAUUCGCGGGAGGGACGGGCGGCGUGGCCGUUAAAUACCCCAUCAAA
rnacentral:misc_RNA from 1 species